UUCAAGUUGGCAGAGAUAUGUGCCUAGCUUAGGUUUAGGAGAGAUGUGAAAUCACAUACUUGAAA
rnacentral:tRNA from 1 species